rnacentral:miRNA from 1 species
CAGGACUCCCAGCUAAAUUCAAAUUUCAACUAGACAAUGAAUAAUGUUUUAGUACAAAUAUACCACAUACAAUGUUUGGGACAUACUUAUACUAAAAAUUAAAUUCUUGUUUAUUUGAAAUUGAAAUUCAAAUA